rnacentral:rRNA from 1 species
GCUCUUCCACAGAGUUGACCUCGAAUCAGGUAGGAAUACCCGCUGAACUUAAGCAUAUCAGAGGGGGAAAAAAGAACGGCGGAACUGCCGAGUCACUUAGAGGGGCGGGGCCAAACACCCGGCCUUAGGGGGGCAGCCCUGGCCAGCCCCCCAAUGGAGGCCCGGGGUGGGACAUGAGGGUUUGAAAUGGCCCUUCCAACCGGGAUGGCCCGCCGGAAUGCUUGGCGGGCCAAAGAUGCGUUCAAAGAUUCGAUUAAUCAAUUGAAAUCUGCAAUUC